UACGUAGGUGGCAAGCGUUGUCCGGAAUUACUGGGUGUAUAGGGAGCGCAGGCGGGAAGCCAAGUCAGCUGUGAAAACUACGGGCUUAACUUGUAGACUGCAGUUGAAACUGGUUUUCUUGAGUGAAGUAGAGGUUGGCGGAAUUCCGAGUGUAGCGGUGAAAUGCGUAGAUAUUCGGAGGAACACCGGUGGCGAAGGCGGCCAACUGGGCUUUAACUGACGCUGAGGCUCGAAAGCGUGGGGAGCAAACAGG
rnacentral:rRNA from 1 species